UUGUUGAUCGAAUAAAUCAAUAUCUACAUUACUAAUCAGGUGUGCAUCCACAUGUCUCAAAAAGGAAAUAAAAUCACUUUCAUGGGUCACGUAUUUGCCAUCACAGGGACUGGUUGGAUGCAGAGCAGCGUUGCCGGAGAAAGGGUUUCCUCUUUCAAGGGACUGCUCUAGAUGUGUAAAUUGUCUAGUUACUAAAUAUCUAUGUACGCUCACUAACCUGCAAUCACCAGUCAUGGUUCUGACGGAUUCCCUAAAACCUCAGAGGACCUGCUGUAGGCUAUUGAGCUCAACAAUGUAUGACACAUUCUCUGAAGACAAGCCCUAAAGAGGAAUCCUCAAAUUAUGAUGGGCAGUGACUGCGCUGGAGGAAGUGAUUAAUCUCCAACAUGAGGACUUGGAAAGUGACACCUAUUUGGAUGAUUAAGUUCUGAUCUAAUUGUCUAAAAAAUAAAAGUAAACACCCGGCUUGGCACAGCUCUUAGGUGAUAAAAAUACACAUCUAAGCGGCUUAGGAAGAGUCUAGUUGGGGAACCUUGGAGUAAGUAAAACUUGAGUUGGAUCUUGAAAGACAUGGAUAAGAGAAGAGCAGUAAGUUUUCUUAGCAAGAAGAACAGAAGUGAGGCAUGUGGUGUGGAAAUAGUGAGAGGGCAUUCUGGCUGGAGCAGAGGGAGUUAGGAAGGGGAUGGAGGAGGUGGUGCCUCGUGGGGAGCUGGAAGGCUUCCCAGAGCAUUCCCAGUUGGUGCACUGUGCUGCCCUCCACCACCCCUCCCGCGGGAGCACAGAGGCUCCACUGGGAACUCUGAAGGACAAAAGCAAGAAGGAGCAAUUCCCCGGGCAUCUCACUGUUCCGUUCUGCUGGGGAGCAGUAGCCAGGCCUUCCUACGGGGCCUCCUCACAAGAGCACCGGAAGGCAGGCGUGGAGCCGGGGGCCGGUCUGGGCUCGGUCGGCUCGGUCACAGCUGCCUGCACGCUGCUGCUUGUUGGAUGUUUGGACUGAGGGUGGAGAGCAGUGGGGAUUGAGAAGGAGCCUUUAUUCUGGCAGAGAGACAGCAUUUUCUGUACGUGUUCUUUUGGAAGAGCGUCCAGGAUGAGGAUCCUGAUGAAUAGAACAUCCCAGGCCAAAUGUCUGAGUGACAGCUUGCUGGGAAUGCUAAUGGGGAGCGGCACAGAGCACAGGCCGGGCGCUGGGGAACAGCUGUGGCGAAGUGGAAGGAAUCCUCCACCGGGAGCCCGAAGACUUCUUCAAGUCCUGAGCCCGCCACUAACGAGAUAGUGGAUCAGGCAAUCGCUGCACCUCAGUUUCUCUGUAACAUAAUGUGACAGUGGCUGUCUCUCUCUGGUGGAGUAUGUAUGCAUCCUUGUCCACUGUGCCGGGCAUGGCCAGGUGAUUUGGGGCACCCCUCUCUCCUGUGGAAGCACUAUUUGUCCCUGCCCUAUUGACAUCAGGCGGGGCUGUGAGAUUUGCUUUGGCUGGCACAAGUGAGUAGGAGUGAUUGUGUCACUAUCCACUAUCGAAUAGAUGUCUGAAGAGCCAUUGUGUGUUCUGCCGUUUCUGUCUGUCUGUGGGCCCUGGGACGAAGACAAUGCAGGGCUGUAGCUGACCUGUAGCAUGGGACAUCAGUGAGAAGUAAAUGUUUGUUGCAUUAAACACUGA